CUUCAUAGCAUUGUCUUCUACAUUCAACAACCUGCUUUCUGAAAAGUAAACGGUGACAGACACAGCACACAAACUCUGGACCACUACUAAUUUCUUGUCUAAAAUUACCAAUAGCAACAGCAAUGUCUUGUUGUUCCUUCUUUCUUGCAUACUUUUCACAACCUUUUUGUAUUGAAAGCACACGGAAGUUCACAUCUUUAUGAUAUUUCAUUACAGAAUACUCACACACUCUUCUUUUGAAGACUAGGUUUUGCAGAUAUUUUUUCUUUGAAUACUCACACACUCUUGCUUUGAAGGCCAGGUUUUGCAGAUAUUUUUUCUUUGAAUACUCACACACUCUUGCUUUGAAGGCCAGGUUUUGCAGAUAUUUUUUCUUUGAAUACUCACACACUCUUGCUUUGAAGGCCAGGUUUUGCAGAUAUUUUUUCUUUGAAUACUCACACACUCUUGCUUUGAAGGCCAGGUUUUGCAGAUAUUUUUUCUUUGAAUACUCACGCACUCUUGCUUUGAACGCCAGGUCUUGCAGAUAUUUUUUCUUUGAAUACUCACAUACAUUCGCCUGAAAAGAGACAUUAUAUUUAUAUUUCA